GUGCUAUGAAUCCGUAGCUUUCAAUAAAUAUUAUAAAGAUGAAAAUGAUAAACACUCAGAAAUUACGCACUAGUCCAGCAUACCCAUACAGGAAAUCCUCUAGGGUACCAGGAGAAGUAUUCUGGCAAAUGUUUUGAUUCUAAAGUUUUCUCAUUCCACUGACUUUAUUACAGACCCUAGCACUUAAUAUUUUCUCCCAGAUUCCUCCUCCCAGUAUGACUCUCCAGGAGCCAGUCUGGUUGAAUUGGCAGAGUCUUCAAUAUGCAAGGAGACCAUAGCCAUCCUCAACCUAUAGCUCAGAAUCAAGCUUUUGCUAUAGAUAGAAACAUCUAGAUGGUUUGGGUGAGCAUGGAGUGAAGAGGAUACUUCAGGAUUUAUAAAAUGGAAGAAGAUGAGACUGUGUCUGUGAGCAGAAGAGCAUCACUGGACUCAGCUGAGAAAACUGGGAGGAAGCUUCGAAUGGAUAUCUGCAUACUUGUGUUCACAGCAGCAUCAUUCACAGUAGUCAAAAGGCAGAAGCAACCCAAAUGCCCAUGGACAGAUGAGGGGGUAAACAAAAUGUGAUGUACACAGACAAUGGGAUAUUAUCCAGCCUCAAAAAGGAAGGAAAUUCUGACACACACUACAACAUGGAUGAACCUUGAAGACAUUAUACUAAUCGAAAUAAGCCAGACACAAGAGAACGAGUACAAUAUGAUUCCAUUAAUGUGAAGUAUCUGGAAUAGUCCAAUUCACAGAGACAAAAGGAGAAUGGUGGUUACCAGAGGCUGGAAGGGGUUGGGGAAGGGAGAAUUAGUGUUUAACGGGCGCUGAGUUUCAGUCUGGGGAGCUGAAAAAGCUCUGGUGAUGGAUGCCGGUGAUGAUGGCACAACUACCUGAAUGUACCUAGUGCCAAUGAACUGUACACUUAAAAAUCGUUAAAAUGAUAAAUUUUAUGUUAUGUAUAUUUUAUCACAAUAAAAAAUUUAAGGGCUGGCCCCGUGGCCGAGUGGUUAAGUUCGCGCGCUCCGCUGCAGGCAGCCCAGCGUUUCGUUGGUUCGAAUCCUGGGUGCGGACAUGGCACUGCUCAUCAGACCACGCUGAGGCAGCGUCCCACAUGCCACAACUAGAAGAACCCACAACGAAGAAUAUACAACUAUGUACCGGGGGGCUUUGGGGAGAAAAAGGAAAUAAUAAAAUCUUUAAAAAAAAAAAAAAUU
rnacentral:lncRNA from 1 species